AUAUAUAGAAAAAGGGCAACAUGCGCAAACAUGUUACCCUAGUGAGCCCGUUAAAAAGACGGUGGCUAUUUUAGAUUAAAGAUUAAAUUAAUAACCAUUUAACCAUCGAAACCAGCCAAAGUUAGCGAUGGUUAUAUUUUU
rnacentral:antisense_RNA from 1 species